rnacentral:lncRNA from 1 species
CCUGAGUCAGUCAAAGUGCUUAGUGCUGGAAGAUAUUGUGGAGGGAUUCUCUUCUGUACACUUCAAGAUGGAGAACAAAAAUAAGCCUAAAGAUUCAUUCAGAAGAUUGUCUCACGUAUUCUCCCUUUAUUGCGUGUUUGGACCAGCCUGAACGCUAUUCCAGCCCUCUGUACAGCCUGAGCAGAAGUCCAUUUGCUGCUGUGCCAGAGAAAACUUCUCAACGGUCUUCUGCUGACAGACAUGGGUCACAGUCAACGUGAAUUAAAUACGACAGUACUUUGUGCCAUUAUUACACACAGUGAGGAUGGAGCGCUGUGAGAAAUCCAAGGUGGUUCAGAAGAGGAAGAAUUAACAGGAUAGUAAUUUUUAUCACCUAUACUAUAGUUUAGAUUGACAUUUGUAAACUUUAUCUCUUAUAAAUCUCUGAAGUAUUUUAUUACUACUAUUAUUAUUAUUAUUAUGACUGUCGCUAUCUUCUGUUUACUGGGAAGCAAAAUGACGCUCACGUAGGUUAUAUGACUUAGACAAAAUUCCUUAGCUAGUGAAAAAUGGGGCUGGCUCUUCUGAAUCAAAAAGCAGUACCCUCCCUCUCAGUCAUUCUGUCCUCUUGAGGAGCAAAAAAUCUCCUCACACAUUUUGCUCAUGUGUUGUGUGUGACAUAUAGGAGACGCAUCGAUUUUAUUUAGAGAAGUACAAUUUUCCAACACUUUACUUCCUCCCAUUGCUUCUUUGUCUGCAACAGAUUGGUAAGUAGGUAGUAAAAUCAGCAUGUAAAUGUGGGAUUGGAAAUGGCAGGUUAACAGUCGAACUUCAUUAGAGGAUAUAGGAAGUCAGAGAGAGAGG